ACUUGCUUAGUUAGAGUCACACCAAGGUAUUUUAUGUUAUCUGUGACUAUUGUGAAGGGUGUCAUUUCCCUAAUUUCUUUCUCAGCCUGUUUAUCCUUUGAGUAGAGGAAAUCUACUGAUUUGUUUGAGUUAAUUUUAUACCCAGCCACUUUGCUGAAGUUGUUCAUCAGGCUUAGGAGUUCUCUGGUGGUAUUUUGGGAUCACUUAACUAUACUAUCAUAUCAUCUGCAAAUAGUGAUAUUUGACUUUUUACUUUCCAGUUUGUAUCUAUUUGACCCCUUUUCGUUGACCUAUUGUUAUGGCUAGGACUUCUAGUACAGUAUUGAAUUGGUAUGGAGAGAAUAGGCAUCCUUAUCUAGUUCCUGAUUUUAGUGGGAUUGCUUCAAGUUUCUCUCCAUUUAGUUUCAUGUUGGCUACUUUCUUGUUGAAUAUUGCUUUUACUAUGAUUAGGUAUGUGCCUUGUAUUGCUGGUCUUUCCAGGACUUUUAACAUGAAGGGGCGUUGAAUAUUGUCAAAUGCUUUCUGAGCAUCUAAUGAAAUGAUCAUGUGGUUUUUUUCUUUGCGUUGGUUUAUAUAGUGGAUUACAUUGAUGGAUUUCUUUAUAUUGAACCAUCCCUGCAUCCCUGGGAUGAUGCCUACUUGAUCAUGAUGGAUGGUCAUUUUGAUGUGUUCUUGGAUUCGGUUUGUAAGAAUUUUAUUGAGUAUUUUUGCAUCGAUAUUCAUA
rnacentral:lncRNA from 1 species